rnacentral:sRNA from 1 species
CAAGACCAAGUCGUAAUAGCAACUUCCCUUCCUCAGCUGCCUAAACUUUUUUUUUCCCUUGUAGCUGGAGAGAAGUGUCACAUUUUGCUCACUCUCAACCUUCCUUGCCCACCCCCUUCCCGGAGAACCUGUGCAGUGUGUAGGGGGUGCUGUGAGCCACCUCCAGCCUCGGGUGGCUGCUAAAGUAACUUUCAACUCCUCUCUUCUUAACACUAUGAAGUGUCUCGGGAAGCGCAGGGGCCAGGCAGCUGCUUUCCUGCCUCUUUGCUGGCUCUUUUUGAAGAUUCUGCAACCGGGGCACAGCCACCUUUAUAACAACCGCUAUGCUGGUGAUAAAGUGAUAAGAUUUAUUCCCAAAACAGAAGAGGAAGCAUAUGCACUGAAGAAAAUAUCCUAUCAACUUAAGGUGGACCUGUGGCAGCCCAGCAGUAUCUCCUAUGUAUCAGAGGGAACAGUUACUGAUGUCCAUAUCCCCCAAAAUGGUUCCCGAGCCCUGUUAGCCUUCUUACAGGAAGCCAACAUCCAGUACAAGGUCCUCAUAGAAGAUCUUCAGAAAACACUGGAGAAGGGAGGCAGCUUGCACACCCAGAGAAACCGAAGAUCCCUCUCUGGAUAUAAUUAUGAAGUUUAUCACUCCUUAGAAGAAAUUCAAAAUUGGAUGCAUCAUCUGAAUAAAACUCACUCAGGCCUCAUUCACAUGUUCUCUAUUGGAAGAUCAUAUGAGGGAAGAUCUCUUUUUAUUUUAAAGCUGGGCAGACGAUCACGACUCAAAAGAGCUGUUUGGAUAGACUGUGGUAUUCAUGCAAGAGAAUGGAUUGGUCCUGCCUUUUGUCAGUGGUUUGUAAAAGAAGCUCUUCUAACAUAUAAGAGUGACCCAGCCAUGAGAAAAAUGUUGAAUCAUCUAUAUUUCUAUAUCAUGCCUGUGUUUAACGUCGAUGGAUACCAUUUUAGUUGGACCAAUGAUCGAUUUUGGAGAAAAACAAGGUCAAGGAACUCAAGGUUUCGCUGCCGUGGAGUGGAUGCCAAUAGAAACUGGAAAGUGAAGUGGUGUGGUAAGUUUGGGACCAACUGGGAUCCAGAUCCAAAGGUUUCUGCAGGUUUUACUCUGCAAAAUAUGAGUCCAGAGGACUCUCAUAGGAGACUCAUGUUUUUCUGUAUGUGAAAACCUGGUAGAGAAAGGUACAGAUACGUACAUGACAGCUGUAAUUGGCAAAAGAAAAUGAAAGGAUUCUUUUUUAAUAUAUAAAAAUCAAGGAUUUUAAAUAUGUCAAUUCGGUCCUGAAAACUGAAAAUUUAAAUACAUAUGUAAAAGCAGCAAACUGAGGAAUAUUUGUCAUUCCCCAAAUUAAAACAUGAACGGUGGUGUAGUAUAAUUCUGGUUAAAUCUUUUUAUCCUUUUCAUACAAGCACCACUGAUGCUGCAUUCGUCUGUCUGUCGUGGUCAGAGCUGUCACGACCUUGUCUAUAUUCUACCACUCUGCUGGUCAUACGUGGAUUGACCAUGCACAUUGGGAAUGUAUUUCUGCUGCGUUCCAUGU